rnacentral:rRNA from 1 species
ACUCCUACGGGAGGCAGCAGUGGGGAAUAUUGCACAAUGGGCGCAAGCCUGAUGCAGCCAUGCCGCGUGUAUGAAGAAGGCCUUCGGGUUGUAAAGUACUUUCAGCGGGGAUGAAGGGAGUAAAGUUAAUACCUUUGCUCAUUGACGUUACCCGCAGAAGAAGCACCGGCUAACUCCGUGCCAGCAGCCGCGGUAAUACA